UGUAAGUUUCCUGUCAUAAUUGUAAAUUUUGUAACUUGAACGAGUCAUUUCCCUUAAUGUAGGAGUAGGUAGCCUUCCCUGCUCCUACAGAAGAGUGAGGAACAUUAACCGAGAGAUGAAUACUAAAAACUUAUGGGGGUCAAGAGGGCUGAGGCUCAUAAAUGGGGCAUGGAGAAUUACGAGACGAAGGUCCCUUUUUCUCUGUGUGCUUCUAAUGUGGCAAAAUGCCUGACCCGCUGUACAGAGAUGACGUGAUAGUAACGAGCCAUGAUUUCUAGAGUAAACUUAAAGGAAGCUUAAAGGAAACUUGGGCUGUUGAAGAUCCAAAGCAGUCUCUGUUACGGUCCAAAUACCCUUCACAAAAAGUGAUGGACCAAGAAAACUCACGAAUUGACGUUGUCGACGUGUGGCAUCACAAAAAUGAAAACCGGAUCGUGUUUUGUUGGGCAGGUAACGUUGCCUUCUACUCUGUGACUGGCUCGCAGGUUUCGAAGUUAUUCUUAUUUUCCCCACAUUUUUGGGCCAUCAUUUUCAUGUUCAUGGGGGUUCAAGGGGAUGACCGAUGAGACGCAUAGUAAGGCAAGUGACGGUGACCUGUCCUGGAUCUUCUGGAAUCACCAAGAUGGAAACUGCUGGGCCCAUUUUGCGGAUGGAGCGUGAUGCAGGUGCUCUCGUUCAAUCAGUGCAAGUACCCUUUCCUAGUUGGUAAAAACAAUAUGCUAGUUUAAAGAUGUGGGUCCUGCUUUGACUCGCAUUGUGUGCAUCGGUGUAGAAGAGUGCGUCUCUCUUCUACAAGAAGAACAAAGAUAAGGAACCAUGCAACCUAGAGACAAUGAAGUACAUCCGGAAGGAAGGAUCGCCGACUUGUGAUGUCUUUUUCCCCCUCAUCCUGAAAUUUCAAGACUCGUGGGCCAUGUUUUCUGAUGACGUCGAACUCGGAUCAGUGAAUCCAAGUACAACUCACGACAUCCGUUCCAGAAGGGAGGGAGAAACUGUUGCGUGAUUCAGUCGUGUUGUGAUUGAAGACAUUUGAUGCUCCCAGACGCGGUGUUUCCUAAGUGGCGAUCCUAUCGAAUUGUUUCGUUUUGGAGGCUGAAAUUCGUUUAAGAACCAAUCGUUUGUUCCAAACUCGAGUGAACUCAAAACAAUUGGGAAAUCCCUCAUGCUAUCAUAGUGCGUAGUGUCGUUAUACGUUUAGGUCGUUGCGUUAAUCUUCCCGCCACGGACUACGUCAGUGCAUCCUUAGAAUCUCAGCAGAGAUUCUCCAUGGACAACGGAUUUCGUAAGGGGACGAACAGAGUGUGUGUUCCUACAUGAGACAGAAUUUAAUCAUGCCAACUGUGAUCUGAUUUUGCAUGUAAGAUGAAAUUGAAUUCCUUGAGGUCGUGAUCUUUUACCGUUCAACGUUGUCUGUCAGUUUGGUUUCCUUCCAAUUUCAUCAAUGUAAACCUUGACGGAUCGUUGCAUUUCUUGAGGGGUUUGGAAACAAAUUUCUUUUGUCCCACGAGAAAUCCUAUUGUUCCAAUAUCACAACACGCUGAAUAUGUUGAUUAAAUUAUGAAUCUGAAGCUCACGAUUUGAAACAUUCAGCGAGGAAAUUCACCGAAGAAUUAAAAAUCCAAUUCUCAUUGAGCCGAACAACGGAUUCUAUCCUCGAUCUGCUCGGUCGGUCAACGCAUAUACGGAACAAAGAACGACAGUUGGAAAGCGUAAUCCAAUCGAAUGAUUGCGUUUGAGCUGGAAACGUUUGAAAAUCACCAACAACAAUAUAACGCAGCCUGGAAUUUGACUGAUUGAUCAAUAAGUUCACCUUAUUUUUCGGUCCUUUUUUUUACACAUCAUUUCAUAGAAAGUUGCUGGGUGUAUAGAAAAUGGAUCAAACUGGCGGCCGCGCUGAGUCACGCCGAUCGUUUCUUUCUAUAUUCCUUCAUCAAUAAAUGAGAAGCUUCCGAAAACUCCCUCUAGAUCCUGAAAAAAAAGGGGCCGCCGCACACCCUACUCUGCAUCCUUCUCCCCUAAAAUAUAUUUAUGUCUACGACAGUAGAAUGGGAGUCGAAAAAAGAGAGAGGCAAUCACGCAUCAGGGUUUUUGAUAGUCGUACAUGAAUGGGGCGCCCUACAACUCGCACAUUUAUAUACUGUCAUCUAUACAUAUGCAACAAACCCAAGAGUAAAAGAAGAAGAAAAAGAGAGCGAAAAGAGGGAUCGCUCUUCGAGAUCAAUUCAUGAGAGGGUGAAUUUCUAGACCUUUUAUCCAACAGGCCCAGGAAAUGCCACCCCUCUCUUCUGUAUCAUCGCAGGGUUUCCCCUGCGCGAAUUGCAAAGGCUCUCCCUCCACACACAUACCCAACCGGUAAAAAAAAAGAAAAUCGAAAUGUACCUCUAGGGCCACAUUUACUUGUAGACGUCCUUCUAUAUGAACGUUGCGAACAGCAUCAAGGAUUAGAUCAACUGCGCUGUCAAUCUAAUCGGAUUGGCUCUAUGUUGGCGAUGGCAUUUUCUGCUGCUUUGAACUCUAUGGUACGCGGAGACGGUGUCACGCAUCACGGAAGCGCCAUCCUGCGCUCUCAUUCCACUCUGUCGCUUGGUGAUUUCAGUCUCCCAAUUUUCCCAAUCAAUGGAAAGUCAAUCAAAUUCUGUAAUCACACGAUGCGUUUGAUGCUGGCGCUCCAAUUUUCGGAACUAUCAUUUGGAAUAUCAGCUGUUCGACGACAGCACCAAUCAACUAUGGCCGGCUAUGCGCGAUGAUGGAAUUACAGUGCGGAUUACACGUCCAAAUAUCCAUUUACCGCUUGUGUGGAUGUCGUGUUAUGUCUGGCUGCCGACUGUAUACUCAAAGAGUAUAAUCCUCCCUGCAGCUACAGUGUUCCAGGUUCAUCAUCCGGUUUGAAUCAGUACACAAUUCCUGUCGCAUGUUAAGGUCCGAAACUAUCGGGGGUUGGUUCCGGCAGCUGUACACAACAACGACAGCUUUAAAAUCAUUCGUUUCCUGUUGCAAUGGACGUCGACUUUGCAUUCGCACUGAUGGAUCGUCUUCUUUUCCAUGUUCUUUGAUCCGAUCAUUUAUCAAAGGCCCAGCAACUUGUCAAGAUAUUUUUUCCCUCGUCAUUUUCGUGUGCCCUAUCCGAUGAUCGUCGUAUUCAUUCAUCAUUGUUGGGGCCAAAGGCAUUGCGCGAUAUUAUCUAAAGUGAGAGCGCGCACCCACAACUGUGUCCUGUUGUCCCUUAAUCGGAGCGAAACCAAUCGGAACCUCCCCCGGCACACACCGCAAGAAACAAGCAGAUGGUCAUCAUCACUACACCACCGUUUUUCGAGCACUACUCAACGAUAUGGAGCCUGACUAAUGAAACGUUUGCAUCUCUUGAAAACCCAUCUCACGUCCACUUCUAACACUCUGCAUUUCAACCCAAAAAAGGGGGGUGGGGGUAUGUAUACCGAAAGGUGAAGCCAUAACGAUAUAUUAGAAAAAGGGGGGAUGUUAUGUAAUACUGAUAUAUUUAGGGAUGCAAACAUUAAAUAGGAAAUGGAAAGAGAGAAAAUUGUAUGGGGAACAUUUUCAUUUCUAGUAUAUUGUUUGGGUAUCGUAUAGGAGAGAGAGAGGGGGGGAGAAAUAAUGGCAAACGACUAUAUAUAGUUGAACAUCGGUGAAGAAUCAUGAGACUUGCCAUCAGUGACCGGGACUAUUUAACGCAUCAGCAGUCUUUUCUUUACCCUCCUCCCCCUUCUCUUCCCUCUUUUUUUUUUUUAACGCAAGUAAUAUUUUGAAAAGAGCGCCGUGAGUCACGCAACACAUUUCGCCCACGGAAAGGGACUGAGGGACUCCCUCUGGAGAUUUUUUUUUCUUCUUUUCCUAUAGAAAUUCGACAGGCAAGCGACACCCUUCGCUGUGAUCUUGUUCCCCCGAUGCAAACCUUUGUAAUCUCCUACACACCACCCCCACUAGUGUUGUGCCCUCACAAUUACACGCAACCCCAAACUGGAUAUUGCAUAUUACAUUUCUUAUACCCCCCUGGUUUGCUCGUAACCCCCUCCGCUCAUAUGUAACACUCUUCGGUUCGUUUUCUAUAUUCUGCUCUUCUUAUUUUUUACUCGUUCGUUUAUAGCGGCAUUGGAACUGUUCAUAUGGUAAUCACCUAUAUCGGCUGUAUCUUUUUAUGUAUAUACUCUUCUUCAUCUA